UGAUUCAGACAUAAGCGAGACUGUGGAUC
rnacentral:sRNA from 1 species